AGUUGUUUGCUUUUCAAUUUCAAAACUUUUGCGUAACUGAUUUUGAAUGGAUUUUGAUGUUUUAUUAUGGCUAUCGAUCAUCGAUGCUAUCGAUAGUCAAAGUAUACUAAAUGUUCUAUUUUGUUCCCUUUUCCGUUUUUACAUUGAAAUGAAAUGAAAUUUAUUUAUUUGCUAAAUAUGCGUGGUUAACAAAGGUCUUAUAAUCUAAAAUAGUCCCUGCAUAUUUACUGAAAUUUCAGUAUGCAAAUAUUAAUAAUAUACUCUACAGAAGAUAGCGGUGCCGAUGGCCUAAAAUUUUAUGACAACGCAUGAUAUGAUAUAUCGUGGAAACUUUCAUAGGAAACGUAUUGAGGUGUGGCGUCGCACCGCAAGUAUAGUAGAAGGUUCCUUAAUAUUUUGCUGAAGGAAGAAGGAAAACAAAUGAAAAGCUUUAAAAAAAUGUGAAAAUUUAUUAGUUGUAUAUACCUAAGGUACUUAAAAUUACAAAUAAAAAUAUUCCUACGCAUUCCAUACACAA